UACGUAGGGUGCGAGCGUUAAUCGGAAUUACUGGGCGUAAAGCGUGCGCAGGCGGUUCGUUGUGUCGGUGGUGAAAGCCCCGGGCUUAACCUGGGAAUGGCCAUGGAAACUGGCGAACUGGAGUGUGGCAGAGGGGGGUGGAAUUCCGCGUGUAGAGGUGAAAUUCGUAGAUAUUGGGAAGAACACCAGUGGCGAAGGCGGCUAACUGGUCCAGAUCUGACGCUGAGGUGCGAAAGCGUGGGGAGCAAACAGG
rnacentral:rRNA from 1 species